CUCUGUGGCUUCUCUUCCUCUACCCGCUGCUACCUGCCAGGCGCCUUUACCUCUCCUUCCCUCCUCCCCCCACUUCCGGGUGUUGCCCAGGCCGGAAGCAGGGCGGGCGAGGCUGGGAGACAGACACGUCACGUGAGAGGGAACACAAGGGCUACAGUCAAGCUUUCCUGUUUCCUGCUGCCCCCUGGCUGGCGAGCGACCUGGAAUCCACAUAUAAGUGAAAUCAUACAGUAUUUGUCUUUGUCUGUCUGACUUAUUUCACUUGGCAUAAUACCCUCUCGGUCCAUCCAUGCUAUCUCAAAAGGAGCCAUAUCAGAAAAAAAUAUUGCUGCCGAAACCGAUUUGGCUCAAUGGAUAGAACGUCAGCCUGCGGACUGAAAGGUCCCAGGUUCGAUUCCGGUCAAGGGCAUGUACAUUGGUUGCGGGCACAUCCCCGGUAGGGGUGUGCAGGAGGCAGCUGGUCGAUGUUUCUCUCUCAUCGAUGUUUCUAGCUCUCUAUCCCUCUCCCUUCCUCUCUGUAAAAAUCAAUAAAGAU